UUGCACCUUAUCUUAGCGGCGGACGGGUGAGUAAUGCUUAGGAAUCUGCCUAUUAUUGGGGGACAACAUUCCGAAAGGAAUGCUAAUACCGCAUACGCCCUACGGGGGAAAGUAGGGGAUCUUCUGUCCUUGAGCUAUUAGAUGAGCCUAUAUCGAAUUACCUAGUUGGUGUGGUAAAGGCCUACCUGGCGACAAUCUCUAGCGGAUCUGAGAUAAUAAACCUCCACACUGGAACUGAGACACGGCCCCUACUCCUCCGGGAGGAAGCAUGGGGAAUAUUGGACAAUGGGGGUACCCCUGAUCCCACCAUGCCGCCUGUGUGAAGAAAGCCUUUUGCUUGUAAAUUACUUUACAGAAGAAGGAGGCGCUCUAGGAUAAUACCCUAGAUGCGUGGACGUUACUCGCAGAAUAAGCACCGGCUAACUCUGUGCCAGCAGCCGCGGUAAUACAGAGGGUGCGAGCGUUAAUCGGAUUUACCUGGGCGUAAAGCGCGCGUAGGUGGCUAAUUAAGUCAAAUGUGAAAUCCCCGAGCUUAACUUGGGAAUUGCAUUCGAUACUGGUUAGCUAGAGUAUGGGAGAGGAUGGUAGAAUUCCAGGUGUAGCGGUGAAAUGCGUAGAGAUCUGGUGGAAUACCGAUGGCGAAGGCAGCCAUCUGUCCUAAUACUGACACUGAGGUGCGAAAGCAUGGGGAGCAAACAGGAUUAGAUACCCUGGUAGUCCAUGCCGUAAACGAUGUCUACUAGCCGUUGGGGCCUUUGAGCCUUUAGUGGCGCAGCUAACGCGAUAAGUAGACCGCCUGGGGAGUACGGUCGCAAGACUAAAACUCAAAUGAAUUGACGGGGGCCCGCACAAGCGGUGGAGCAUGUGGUUUAAUUCGAUGCAACGCGAAGAACCUUACCUGGCCUUGACAUACAGGGAACUUUCCAGAGAUGGAUUGGUGCCUUCGGGAAUUUUGAUACAGGUGCUGCAUGGCUGUCGUCAGCUCGUGUCGUGAGAUGUUGGGUUAAGUCCCGCAACGAGCGCAACCCUUUUCCUUACUUGCCAGCAUUUCGGAUGGGAACUUUAAGGAUACUGCCAGUGACAAACUGGAGGAAGGCGGGGACGACGUCAAGUCAUCAUGGCCCUUACGGCCAGGGCUACACACGUGCUACAAUGGUCGGUACAAAGGGUUGCUACACAGCGAUGUGAUGCUAAUCUCAAAAAGCCGAUCGUAGUCCGGAUUGGAGUCUGCAACUCGACUCCAUGAAGUCGGAAUCGCUAGUAAUCGCGGAUCAGAAUGCCGCGGUGAAUACGUUCCCGGGCCUUGUACACACCGCCCGUCACACCAUGGGAGUUUGUUGCACCAGAAGUAGGUAG
rnacentral:rRNA from 1 species